UAGCGACGGAAGGUAGAAGCGUCGUUAAUUCCGUCGCUAUCUCUUUUAAUUAAGAGAUAAAUAAAUCCUAGGGCACAAAUAGGCACUUCUCUCAUUUCAAGCACCACAACACAUACACAAAUAGCUAUUCUCUCAUUUCCACGGUUAAACCAUCACUGAAAGCACCAAAAGACCUUAAAGAACACCAUGUCCUUCACCACCGAAACCACUGACACUCGGCAGAAGAAGAAUUAAAACAUUUUCUCACUCUAAAACCUUUUUGUUUCUCUACAUUAAAGAAACCAUGUUCUUCACUUUGCUGAAACCAUUGUUCUUCACUUCGCCGUGCUUUAGGUGUUGUAUUAUAUGUAUAUAUUUGUAUAUUUUCUUAUCUUAGUUGUAGAAACGAGUAUGAUUAUUUAAACCAUCAAAAGAUUGACAAAAUAUUGUGUAUUUGAGUCAAAAUCCAGUGGAUCUUAGCAAAACCCACUGGGUAUUUCAUUUUACUCUUAGUUUGGUGUAAUUUUGGUAUUUUGUUUGUUUUCAAAGUUCUGGUUCAUUGAAUUUCUUUGCAUGUGGGUUUUUGGUUUGUUCUCUUUUUUUUGAUUUGGGUUUUCUUCCAUUAAUUUGGAUGUAUGUUUUAAACUGAGUCUUUAGAAGAAAUAAAAUGGUUUGACAGCUUAGGAAUUAAAUUUUCUACUUGAAAAUAAUUCAUCUUAACAGGAUCGUAGUGAGAAGUUGGGUUCGAAGCUCGGUCCGUGGAAGCUGGUUGGUUCAGAAAUUACAAUGUCGGUUGAUUUAGCACUUUGAGGUAGUGGACGUUAGAAUUUAUUGAAGUUCGAUUCACUUAAGGUUCUGCAUUUUAGCUGCUGUUGAAGGACUGCUGCCUGCUAUUGAAGUUCUACUCACUUUAAGGUAAAUAGUUGAUUUGAGAUGACUCCGCUGGACGAAUGGAUACAGAGGAUUAUAUAGCUAACUUCAACUAUUUUGUAGGGUAUUCAGUAUUGUGCUUCAAAUUCCCGUUAAUGUAGACCAUUGCAAAGGAUUAUUCAGAUUAUUAGUGUUAAUAUAAACCUAAAUGACCAUUUCUAUUUUCCUACUGUUUUCCAUUACUAGCAGUCUGCUUGCUUAAUUUGGUUGCCUCCUU